CUCAAUUUUAAAUUUAUUUUUCAUAUAUUCAUUUUUAACAUUAAGGUUAUAUCUGGAUGUUUUGUAAUGGAGCAAAACCUUAUGUAUUUUUCUGUUAGCUACUUUGGGGAGGAUAGAAAAGCCUGCUACUUUAGUACACUUAUCUUUAACCAGCCAUUUUACUAAACAUCAUAAAGAUAAUCAGUUUUUAAUUAUCUUGGGAUUUCUUAAUAGACAAUUACAUCAUCUCCAAAUAAUGCUUUUUGUUUUCUCUUUGUCAGUAAUAAUGUUCCUAUAUCUGUACUAGAAUUGUAUUAACUAAUAUAAUGGUGGAGAGAUCCUUGUUCUGUUUCUGAUUUUGAUGGGAUCCUGCCACUUAGUUUGGUUAUUUGUCCAGUAAUGCUGGUGCUUAUUAAAUUAUAUCAUUCAUGUUUUGGGUGGAUUCUCUAGGCAGCUAUUAAGUUCCUGGGAAUUAGGCCAACCUCUGCCAAUACAGCUAACUCUCUGGGUCUGGUUUCAGCAUCCCCUGCCACUGAGCGAGGAACUUGGUCAGGGCCAAAAAGAAAGCUGUCUUAUGUGGAUUCUGUGAUGACCAUAACCAACUGGGGCUGCUUCUCUCUGGAUAUGGCUAUGAUGGCAGAGUUGAGUAGGCGCAAUGGAGGCCUUAAAACCUGCAAUGCCGAACAUCUUUACUACUUGGUCCUUGAGGAGCUGCUUUGAAGAGAAACUUCAGGAAGACGUUCAUUGUCACAUGAAAAGCCACUUUCAAGGGAUGCUUGCUCAAGGCCAACCAGAACCACAUAAUAAGCAGCAUGUAGGCCCCAACCAGUUCAUUCUGAAGGAGGUCAGCCCUGGGAUUUCUUUGGAGGGAAUGAUGCUGAAGCUGAAACUCCAGUACUUUGACCACCUCAUGCGAAGAGUUGACUCAUUGGAAAAGACUCUGAUGCUGGGAGGGAUUGGAGGCAGGAGGAGAAGGGGACAACAGAGGAUGAGAUGGCUGGAUGGCAUCACUGACUGGAUGGACGUGGAUCUGAGUGAACUCCGGGAGUUGGUGAUGGAUAGGGAGGCCUGGCGUGCUGUGAUUCAUGGGGUCGCAAAGAGUCGGACACGACUGAGCAACUGAACUGAACUAAACUGAGGCCAAUUAGAUUAUUAGCAAUGUUAGACCAUCAGAAAGUAACUUUGGGAACAUACAGUGUAUUUUAUAAGUGUUAUUUGUUGUUGUUGGGGUUUAUUUGUUUUGUUUCCAUUUUUUAACUUUUAUUUUACAUUGGAGUAUAGUUGAUCUACGAUGUUGAGUUAGUUUCAGGUGUACAGCAAAGUGAAUCAGUUGUGUAUGUACAUACAUCGAUUCUUUUUCAAAUUAUUUUCCCGUAUAUAUUACUACAGAAUAUUGAGUAGAGUUCCCUGUGCUGUACAGUAGGUCUUUGUUGAUUAUUUUAUACAUAGCAUUGUGUAUAUGUUAAUCCCAAACUCCUAAUUUAUCACUACCCUCCAUAUUUCCCCUUUGUACCUUUUUCCAUCCCCUCACUGUGUCUGUAUGUGUCCCUAGAUCUGAAAUGGGUCUCUUGUAGACAGCAUUUAUAUGGGUUUUGUUUUGUAUCCAUUCAGCCAGUCUGGGUCUGGGUCUUGUUCCUCUGUUGUGCAGGGCCAUGUUAAGGAGUGUGUCUUCAAGGUGGUUGUGAGCUCAGUAUGAUUGUAGGCAGACUGUCUGCUGAUGGGUGAGGCUGUUCCCACCCUGUUGGUUGCUUGGCCUGAAGCGUCCCAGCACUUGAGCCUGCAGGCUGUUGGGUGGGGCCCGUUCUCAGUGUCAAAAUGGCAACCUCUGGGAGAGCUUAUGCCAGUGAGUUUUCCCUGGGGCCUCUACCACCAGUGUCCUUGCCUCCGCAGUCAGCCACAGCCAACCCACACCUCUCCUGGAGACCUUCCAAGACUCGCAGGUAGUUCUGGCUCAGUCUCCUAUGGAGUCACUGCUUUGACCUGGAUCCUAGUACACAUGAAAACUUGUGCAUGCCCUCCAAGAGUGGAGUCUGUUUCUCCCAGUCCUGCACAGCUCCUGCACUCAAGCCCCGCUGGCUUUCAAAGCUAAGUGCUCUGGCGGCUCCUCCUCCUGAUGCCAGACCCCCAGACUGGGGAGCCUGAUAUGGGGCUCAGAACUCUGACUCCUGUGGGAAAACCUCUGUGAUAUAGUUAUUUUUCCAGUUUAUGGGUUGGUCACCAAGCAGUUAUGAGAUUUGAUUAUAUCUGAAAAGUACCUCUCUUACCAUCUCAUUGUGACUUGUCUCUGGAUGUACAGUAUGAUUUUUGGUAGGUUCCAGUCUUUUUUGUCAGGAGAAGGCAAUGGCAACCCACUCCAGUACUCUUGCCUGGAGAAUCCCACGGACGGAGGAGCCUGGUGGGCUGCAGUCCAUGGGGUAGCUAACAGUCGGACACAACUGAGUGACUUCAUUUUCACUUUCCUGCACUGGAGAAGGAAAUGGCAGCCCACUCCAGUGUUCUUGCCUGGAGAAUCCCAGGGACGGGGGAGCCUGGUGGGCUGCCGUCUCUGGGGUCACACAGAGUCGGACGCGACUGAAGCGACUUGGCAGCAGCCGCAGCAGCAGCAGUCUUUUUUGUCAAUGGCUGUUCAGCAGUUAGUUGUGAUUUUGGUGUUUUCAUGAGAACAGGUAAGCUCAAGUCCUUCUACUCUGCCAUCUUGUCUCCUCCCUCUAUCCAUAAAUGUUCUUUGAAUUGAAUGAUGGAUCUUUCAACAAGAUAGAGAAGACGUUAUUUUACCUACUAACUUGAGUGUAAGUCUUGAGUGUGACCAUGCUAGUCAUUCCUAGUUUCCCUCUCCCUCCCUCCCUCUCUCAGCAUUGACAUCCUGAAGCACUAAGGGAAUGCCUUAUGUUGAUAAUAUGGUAAUAGAGAUUCACAGUGCUUCCAAUGAGAGUAUUUGCUGAUGUGGGCAUUCGGUGUACUCAAUUUUAGUGGGCACAGCAUGCUCAUUCAUUACUCCUGUCUUCAGGAGAGUCUCUAGCCAUUUGACUCACUUGCUGACUCUUGCUCUUUGAGGAAGCAGCCAUAAAGGCAAAGCUCUCAAAGGGGAAAAUCUGUUGGUCUCAUUCCAACCCUUUAGUCAAGACAAGGAAGAUAGGAGAUAACUAUCCUUUUCCAUCCCUCUUGAUUUUGAAUAUACAAGCUAAAGAGCCCAUUAACCCUUAGUUUAAAAAGAAAAACCGGAGUGUCACAAAAGACAGGAAUAAUUCAAAUGCAGUUUAGGCUAAUAAGGGAGCUUUAUCCUUUCACUGUUUUCUGGGAGCUUUUCAAUCAGCUUUGGCAAAGCUUCUGAACAAAGACAGUAAUUACCAAAUAAAAAUUGCCUUCAGUGCAUUGUCUAACUGUGUUCACAGUUUGGCAUGAACGGAUUUAUGAUCCUUUUAUUCCAACAGGAACUACCAGUCCUCCCUUCACUUCAAAUAGCCUAUUCAUCUCAGCAUAAAAACGACUAAAAUACACCCAAAGAAUAUGCUGCAUCUGCACCCAAGAAGCGGACAGCAGGAGUCAGCUUCUACCAACAGUCACCAAUAUACCUGGCUUUGAAAAGCUCCAUCCAAAACACAGACUCUAAAAAGCCCUUAAAUAUUUAUUUUUAAAAGACAGCAAUUAUUUGGUUUCACUUCUAUUUACUACUAUGGAUGUUUUGUUCAAAAGUAAAUUCAUUCUAUUUUGUAUAAAAUCGUCCAAAAUGAAGAUUAUAUUAGGGAAUUUAAGCUUAAUUAAUGACCUGUGACUGCUAAUCAGAUACAUGGAUUAAUGCUUUCUAUUCCUGGGAGUAAGUGACAUAGAUAUAUAUGUAUAUAUCUUAGAGACCACCUAAUUGGUGGCAUCAUCAAGCAAUUUACUUCACUCCUAACACCCAUCUGCUAAGCAUUCUCUUUUGCUACCCUCUAGCUCAUGCUUAAUGUAGAUAUGUAUAUACAUGUAAGCCACAUGUCCAAAUCCUAGAACAACAUUCAUGUAGAAUGGGGUUGCAAAGAGCCAGACUCGACUGAGUAACUGUCACUUUCAGAAAGUCUCUAUAAAAAAUUGAGACCUUUGCACAAAACUUUGUGUUGCAGUAUAAUACAGGUCAUGUUAAUACACUGAUAUGAGUCCCUGGUGGCUCAGGUGGUUAAAAAAAAAAAAUCCACCUGUAAUGCAGGAGACACGGGUUUGAUCCCUGGGUGGAGAAGAUCCCCUGCAGAAGUAAAUGGCAACCCACUCCAGUAUUCUUGCCUGGAGAAUUCCAUGGAAAGAGGAGCCCAGUGGGCUACAAUCCAUGGGGUUGCAGGGUCAGAUACAACUGAGCGACUAGCACUUUCAGUUUCACAAAUAUAAUGGUUAUAAACAUCAGGGAGGAAGAAAUUUUCGACCUUUCUAGUUCUUCCAGCUGACCUAGAAUUAAAUUGACAUGAGGCAGAUAACAGAGAAAAUCAAACAAAAGUUUAAUGACAUGCAAACAUGGGAGAGACCCAGGAAAACUAAGUCACUCACCAAAAUGGCCAAAACCCUCACCUUGAAUACCAUCUUCAGUUGAAGACAAAAGAGAAGGUUGGGGGUAGUCAUUUGGGACUUCAUUAGGGAGGAAGGCAAUUGACAUGGAGAUGGAAAAGCACUCAUUCGGUAAACAAAUAUUUGCUGGGUCCUGCAGAGACAAUGGGAUACUGAGUGGACUCUGGUCUUUUGGCCUGCCCAGUUGUCCCGACUAUACCUCACCUCAUAAUCUUUGAAGAUAUGUCUGGGGACUGCUUUAUUCUGGUCCUUUAUAUAAAUUCUUUAAAUAGCUAAAAGUGUUAGUUGCUGAGUUGUGUCUGACUUUUUGCAACCCCAUGGACUGCAGCAUGCCAGGCUUCUUUGUCCAUGUGAUUCUCCAGGCAACAAUACUGGAGUGGAUUGCCGUUUCCUUCUCCAGGGGAUCUUCCCAACCCAGAAAUUAAACACAGGUCUCCUGCACUUCCCUGGUGGCUCAGACGGUAAAACGUCUGCCUACAAUGUGGAAGACCUGGGUUCAAUCCCUGGGUCGGGAAGAUCCUCUGGAGAAGGAAAUGGCAACCCACUCCAGUACUCUUGCCUGGAAAAUCCCAUGGACAGAGGAGCGUGGUAGGCUGCUACAGUCCAUGGGGCUGCAAAGAGUCGGACACGACUGAACGACUUCACUCACUUCACUCACUCCUGCACUGCAGGCAGAUUCUUUACCAUAUGAGCCAAGGCGGAGAGAGGGGCGAAUAAAAGAAAACUUCCUGAGUUGUCUGUUUCUUAAAAACAAUCAGCUUAAAUUAAUCCUCAUGCCAAAGAGAUGCAUUUUGGAGUAGCAGAUUUUUCUCUCCUGUGCAAGAUUAGUUCCAACCACAACUUUUUCAUUGGUCACUAUCACAUCAUGUCCUCAUGGCAUUGCAAGCUUAGCAGUUGAUCCCUUUGACUUUGGGGUCCUCAAUAUUGCUCCACUGGGUGUAUUCCAACUAUACAUACUGGAUUGUCCCAAAUGUACAUUGGACGUGGUGACUGUUUGUGUAAAAUGGGGGUAUAGCUUUCACAGAGUGGGGGCCUGAAAAGGGCACUCUCCAUAGAGUUGGGAGACUUGUUUCUACGCUUCAGUGUUUUAUUGACUGUAUAUGAUGUUAGGUAUCUCUCUUUACCUCACUAAACUUGAGAUGCUGUUGUUUAAAGAUAAAUGAAGGAGCUGGUCCAGAUCAUUCCCCUUGUCUCAAAGUGUAUUUCAUAGAAAAAUGAUCUGAUGAGAUACAAGAAUGCGUCUGCUUGUCCCUAUGCCCUUCGGGAAGAAUGAAGCCUCUGAGAAUCCUUGCAAUAAGUGAAUCUGUUUAACUUUUUAACUCAGGAUUAUAUAAAUUUAUAAGACUAC
rnacentral:lncRNA from 1 species